rnacentral:rRNA from 1 species
UGACAUAAGUAACGAUAAAGCGGGUGAAAAGCCCGCUCGCCGGAAGACCAAGGGUUCCUGUCCAACGUUAAUCGGGGCAGGGUGAGUCGACCCCUAAGGCGAGGCCGAAAGGCGUAGUCGAUGGGAAACAGGUUAAUAUUCCUGUACUUGGUGUUACUGCGAAGGGGGGACGGAGAAGGCUAUGUUGGCCGGGCGACGGUUGUCCCGGUUUAAGCGUGUAGGCUGGUUUUCCAGGCAAAUCCGGAAAACCAAGGCUGAGGCGUGAUGACGAGGCACUACGGUGCUGAAGCGACAAAUGCCCUGCUUCCAGGAAAAGCCUCUAAGCAUCAGGUAACAUCAAAUCGUACCCCAAACCGACACAGGUGGUCAGGUAGAGAAUACCAAGGCGCUUGAGAGAACUCGGGUGAAGGAACUAGGCAAAAUGGUGCCGUAACUUCGGGAGAAGGCACGCUGAUAUGUAGGUGAAGCGACUUGCUCGUGGAGCUGAAAUCAGUCGAAGAUACCAGCUGGCUGCAACUGUUUAUUAAAAACACAGCACUGUGCAAACACGAAAGUGGACGUAUACGGUGUGACGCCUGCCCGGUGCCGGAAGGUUAAUUGAUGGGGUUAGCGGUAACGCGAAGCUCUUGAUCGAAGCCCCGGUAAACGGCGGCCGUAACUAUAACGGUCCUAAGGUAGCGAAAUUCCUUGUCGGGUAAGUUCCGACCUGCACGAAUGGCGUAAUGAUGGCCAGGCUGUCUCCACCCGAGACUCAGUGAAAUUGAACUCGCUGUGAAGAUGCAGUGUACCCGCGGCAAGACGGAAAGACCCCGUGAACCUUUACUAUAGCUUGACACUGAACAUUGAGCCUUGAUGUGUAGGAUAGGUGGGAGGCUUUGAAGUGUGGACGCCAGUCUGCAUGGAGCCGACCUUGAAAUACCACCCUUUAAUGUUUGAUGUUCUAACGUUGGCCCGUAAUCCGGGUUGCGGACAGUGUCUGGUGGGUAGUUUGACUGGGGCGGUCUCCUCCUAAAGAGUAACGGAGGAGCACGAAGGUUGGCUAAUCCUGGUCGGACAUCAGGAGGUUAGUGCAAUGGCAUAAGCCAGCUUGACUGCGAGCGUGACGGCGCGAGCAGGUGCGAAAGCAGGUCAUAGUGAUCCGGUGGUUCUGAAUGGAAGGGCCAUCGCUCAACGGAUAAAAGGUACUCCGGGGAUAACAGGCUGAUACCGCCCAAGAGUUCAUAUCGACGGCGGUGUUUGGCACCUCGAUGUCGGCUCAUCACAUCCUGGGGCUGAAGUAGGUCCCAAGGGUAUGGCUGUUCGCCAUUUAAAGUGGUACGCGAGCUGGGUUUAGAACGUCGUGAGACAGUUCGGUCCCUAUCUGCCGUGGGCGCUGGAGAACUGAGGGGGGCUGCUCCUAGUACGAGAGGACCGGAGUGGACGCAUCACUGGUGUUCGGGUUGUCAUGCCAAUGGCACUGCCCGGUAGCUAAAUGCGGAAGAGAUAAGUGCUGAAAGCAUCUAAGCACGAAACUUGC